CGGCAACAGCUCAAAUUUGAAAUCUGGCCUUUGGCCCGAGUUGUAAUUUGUAGAGGAUGCUUUUGGUGCGGUGCCUUCCGAGUUCCCUGGAACGGGACGCCUUAGAGGGUGAGAAUCCCGUACGUGGUCGCUAGCCUUUACCGUGUAAAGCCCCUUCGAC
rnacentral:rRNA from 1 species